CUAGUGGGAACCUUCGGACGAGGUGGGCCGCAGCUGCGUCGAGGCCGAGCUCGCCGAGGCCCUGCAGACCCUCGAGCCCCAGAAGAAGGACACUAUCCACGCCCUCGACUCCCAGAUCGUCACCCUUAGCCAAUUUGCACGGAACUAACAAUCGACACUCAAAUUUGACUCGGUUUGCAACCAAACUAAAGUUCAACCUAACUUGGAAUACGCAAGACCAAUCGACUUUUGGAGAAUAUUUUAAUUGUGCAGGAAUAGGCAAGACAAAGCGACUUUUGCAGGAUUAAGUUUCUUCGGGUCCAUUUAUUUUUGUUUAGAGAUUUCGAAAUAGGCAUGACUAGAAAACUGCUUAUUUUAAAGAUGCAUAUGACAUCGAUCUUUAUGUUUUAAAAGUUAUUACUUGAUGUGAAUUUGUUAUGACGUAUAUUUGAUCUUGUAGUUGCU